GGGGACAGUGUGGAGGAGGGAGCAGUUUAGAUUGAGAUGUGACAGCGUUAAGAUGUAUCAUCAUCCGGCUGGAUGAUGCCGCGUGAGGAAGUGGUGGUGGCCAUGGAAUGAGUGAAUGAAGCUGAAACCAAGAACGUCUCGUUGCACCCGGUGGCGUUGCAGAAGCAAUCGCUCGAUAUUUGGUAUAGGUUCAAAAAAAGUAGGUAGCUACCUUGACAUAAAGGAAAAAUGGGGCAGAGAAAACCUCAAAGUUAUGAUUAUUUCAUUGUCUUAGACUUUGAGGCCACCUGUCAAAAGAACAUACAACUGGUGCCACAGGAAAUCAUUGAAUUCCCAGCCCUGAAGGUCAAUUCCACAACAUACGAAGUUGAGACUAAAUUUCACCAGUUUGUAAAACCUGUUGUGCAUCCACAACUAACCAACUUUUGCAAAGAGUUGACGACUAUUACACAGAUUUCAGCGCUUCAAAACACCAACCAUAUGAACCACUGUCUUUAUAAGGCCUGGAUAUCCGAGCGCUAAAAACGUCGUGUUGCCGAUGCCACCUGACGCUUCCUUUUACAGAAUGAGGUAUCUUACCGUACUUCUCAAUGGAAAAUCACUAAUUUGGACUACACGAGCGUUACUAGCGCUGCGUUAGGACGCGUUACGUGGGCGUCAGGAAUUCCUAACGUCGGUGUCGACGUUAAUAGCGCGCGAUAGUAACAACGCCUUGACUGUGGCAAGGGGGGCUACUUGCCCCCUCCU